rnacentral:lncRNA from 1 species
UGCAAUCUUUUGCCUAUUUGGUUAGCGUGUUUCUUAUCUUGAUUAUUGUAGCUAUUAGAAUUGUUGGAUCUUUUGAUAUUUGGUCCUCGAUCUGACAAGUAUUACCUUUUUGAUAAAUAACUUUGUAAAACUGCAUCAUUCAGUUCAUUUCUUAGGUCAUCUCUAGUAGUAGUUAAUUUUAAGUCAAGAUUGAAGUUUUAAUAGUAAUCUAAGGACUGUACAUCUUGGUUAUUGUCUUAUUGAUUAUACAAUACAUAUUAGAGGAAAUUACAAGUGCCUUAAACAACCUACUGAAAUCUACGAUUACAUAGAGGUGUAGCCAUGGUUGAAGAUCAGGGCCAGAGCCAGAUUUGGACCAUGCUCUGAGCUGGCAGUUUUGCUUUGUGAUGUUAAUCAACACAUUUUCCCUCUUAUCUCUAUACAUCUUUACUGGUCCUAUAAGCGAUUCUGCAGGGUUACCAUGAUAGAUAAUUUUCUCAGAAACACAAAUCCGGGAGUACAUUUGUUCUGGGAUGGGGUGAAUUUAUUGGAGGAGACUACCAGUAAGUACUAUCUUUCCUUAAUGCCUGAUUAUAUCGCUGAAAUUAGCCUCGCCGUGCAUUUGUGCUGUCGUGCAUCGCUUUCGUAGGAGAUCUUGCAGCUUUCACUCAUGGGCGAUCUUAAUGGAGUUGCUAUGAACCAAAAUGUUCAGAGUAAAUAUCAAGAGUCUAUUCUCCCAUUUAAGUUUCUUCGAAGAAUCAAGAAUGCCAAGUACAGCACAACUUCUAAUUGUUGCUCCGAAUGAAAAAGAGAAAAUCAUCUGAGUAGGGAUUUCUAGACAAGGUACAACCUACAUGUAUAAGUUUUUCAAAGAAGUUAUCAUGCCAGUAUACAUAAAUAAAAUUUAGUUUUACUUAUGUACAUUACUGCUUCCUUAGCAAUUAAAAGAACUAUAUCGAUGUACGCUAUUCAUGAUGCCUCUCUGGAUGUUUGGAACAUACUCCCUCCGUUCCUUUAUAUACGGUGUAUUUGUUUUUUGAUAAAAUUGCACAAUGUAAGGUGCAUUUCUUUUAAAUCCUCAUAAUUCCCUUUUUAUCCCUCCAGAAAGAGGAAAGUAUAUCUCUCCUUGUAUCAAAAGAAGGAAAUUAUCUCUCCCUCGAUUGCAUGUAUCUCUUACUUUCCUGGACUCAUUGAUUUACUUGCCACUAACCAAUAAAUUUGCCAAGGGUACUUUUGUCCUAACACAAGUGUGUGGUCACCGUGCUCAAAAUAAUACACCUUACAUAAAGAAACGGAGGGAGUAUAUCUCAGCUCACUUCUUAGGUGUGCUUUACCUGUACUAUCAUAUGCAAUACUUUAUUUUCCAGUUGUUAAGUUUUCGCCACACAUAUUUGAACAUUUUCGUAGGUGAACAAAUGCCUCAUUUGGAGCGAUUAUAGGCUAACCAAGUGUACUGGAAUUACUUAAAUGCUCUUAAAAUAUAUUCGUUAACACUUCAAAUUUAAUAUCAAUAUUCCAUUGGAUCUUCAAAAAUCAACAUCUAAAAUGUAAAUGUAUUGUUCAACAUUUGAAGCUGUAUUUUCUAUUCAUUUGUACAGUUAAUGAUUUUCUUUGAAUCUACUCAUGGAAAGCGCAAAGUCCCGCAGCAACGCGCGGGGUAUCAAUACAAUACACCAUGCAGCCAUGAGCAGGAUAUUUGAAGUCUUUGUCCCUGACUGAGCUCGAGGGACCCUCAUACUAAUAAUGUCUUCUUCUUUAUUCGGUUCAAUAAUGUCUUCAAGCGUCAAAUUUUUUGUGGGCAAAAAAAUGAGGCUUGAAAAGAAACCACGCAUUCCAUUAACUAUGUAAAGCGUCAUUGCUCCCGUUCUGUCCAUAGUUGAUGCCUCUUCUAUUAUUUCAUUCAUGCAGCUCUAGGUUUGUCCUUGCUUUUUUUUUUGAACGACAACUACACAUUCCAUUAACCAUAGAGAUUACAGGACACAAACAUGUGGAAAUCACACCAGAUCUCGAUGCGCCUCAACAUAUUGUCCCCUUUCGGUCUCCGCUGCCACCAUAUAGCCAACGAAGAUAGAAAGGAUCAACCACCAGACCCUGAACUGUAGGAGCACCAUCGCAGAUUGUGCUGUUUUUCUAGCCGGUGAAAAACAUCUGCUUUUUGAGGUCUGGUUUUGUCCAUACUUCUUAUGCUCUUCGACAUUUAAACAACAUAUGCGUGAUAUCCUUGUAACCAUUUUAAACCGGCAAGAGCUAUUAUUGGUGAUAUGAUGGUUUGCUAUCACCCCUAGGCAGGGGAUCAAGACAUGGCUGGCGUGCAAUCCGUUUGUUUAUCUUAGCCGUAAAGUUUAAUUUGUAUGUGCUCUUCUGGACCGGGCCAGCUUGGGAAUUAAAAAAAACAUGUCUGUCCCUAAAAAACAUGUUUCCAAGAAAAUAUACUCCCUCUGUAAAGAAAUAUAGUAAGAGCGUUUGGAUCAUACUUUAGUGACCUAAACGCUCUUAUAUAUGAUCUAAAUGCUCUUAUAUUUCUUUACGGAGGGAGUACAAUUUUUUGAAAAAUUAUGUACCAAUUCGGAAAACUGAUAAUAUGCCUAUUUUUUCAAAUGUUUGAAGAAAAUCGUCCUUUUUGAGAAAAUAUUUUUUUUAAAAAUGUUCACAAUUUAAAAAAUUACCCACACUUUCCAAAAUAAUUUCAAAAUUUUACAAAAUGUUCGUAUUUUCAAAAAAUCAAUUUUCCGAAAAUUUCCUCCAAAUUUUAAAAAUACCCCUGCUAUAAAAAUAUGUUUAAAAUUUAUUACUUUAAUCUUUUAGAACCGAAUAAAUAACCCCAAAAUAAGUUGGAAAAAAGUUGCACAGUUCGGCUCGAUACAGUCCUGCUCACUAGCAGUUUCCUCGCCACUGCCGGCCCAAGCGAUCGAGGAACUACUUGACGCACUUAGCGUCAAGUAGCACAGAUGCUAUUUAUCACCCGUACUUGUAUACCUAUAAUCUCUACCUAAUAAUAAAGCACACAUCAUUAUUGGUCGUCUGUCGCAUUUUUGAAAAAAAGUACCUGCAAUUUGUUGAAAUCAACAGUCCAUCUUUAAGUCGGGACGAAUUGAUUUUUCCAUUUUACAUAAAACCUUCUGACGUUUAUAUUAACCAACCCGUAGUCCAACAUCAAGUCACAGUGAACCGUUUUCUGAAGUUUUACAUAAAGCACCUAAUAUUUACAUUAAUCAACCGGCUAUCCAUCUAGAGUAAUUUUUUAAAAUAAUCAUAUCUUGUAAACCCUAACUCUAAUUUAACAUGUUAUAUAUGAAAAUUGAUUAGAAAAUGUUUAGAAUCUGAAUAUGAUGUUAUUUUUAUUAUUAACUAUCUUUAAAAAAAAUGCUAUUUAGGGUGGAACCUAAAUCACUGGCGCAUGAUCCGUCAUUCCUUCGUACGCGUCGUUGACUUGUAUUGCGAAUGAACAUGCCGCACGCAUUGCUCUAUGCUGCUUGGCAAGGAGCGAGUGGGGGAAAUGAUUAAAAUGAAUAAAUUACAAACCGUAGGUUGUACUGCCACAAGCUUCUCUCUUUGUACAUGUCCCAUAAUCGAAGACCCUACAUACAUAUUGUUUUUUAUAAAAUCUACACGCGUACAUACCAACAGACUAUACAAUUCUUUUUUAUAGUGAAUACACAAAUAAUUUUUUAUAACAUAUACAUACACUUAUAAAAUUCAUGAACAUCCAAAGCACAUGAAGAUUUAUUUUGAAAAUAUCCAAACAAUUCUUGUGAUAGUCAUGAACAUUAAUACUGAAACCGAUAUAUAGGAUCUUAAUUUGUGUGCAUGUGAUGGUGAAAAAUACAGAUCUUUUUAAAUAGAUUUAAUUUAUAGACGUGGCCUUCUUAGUGUUGAACUGCACCGACUGGUUGCUAUCUGAAUCUGCCAUAGGUGCACGCCAUCAAUAUUACGAGUCAGAACCAAAACUGAAUCGAAAUGAAAACAAUGGCUCGGAUAAAAAAUGUUUACUCUCUCGUUGCAACGCAUGGGUAUAUUUGCUAGUAAUAAUAAAUGGACUAUUGCUGCUAGCGGUACGUCACGGGAAUUGCCCCCGGUGUUUGCACAAUGUUACCUACCAAUGCAAUAUAUAAGUGAUAAAACGUUUCACAUAGGGGAAUCCCCUGCCUCGGCCGGCCCAUGCAGUAGAGACCUCCUAUAUUGCGCUUUGCGCACUAGGAGAAGACACAACGCUAACGCUUGGACUGGCCAUGUCCGGGGGCCUGUUUUUCAAUUUUCGUUUUUUCAUUCUUUUCCGUUUUUGUUUUCUACUUUAAAUAAUUUGGGAUUUAAAAAAUGAAUAAAAAAAUGAGAAUUUUGAAUAAAAAUUUUAAUAAAUCAUAAAAUGUUUGUGGAUUCAAAAAAAUUGAAAAAUAAAUGUUCGGGAAAUCAAAAAAUGUUCAUAAUUUUUCAAAAAUGCAUUGUACUCCCUCUGUUCUUUUUACAAAUUUAAAUGUGGAACACAUAGGGAUGUAUAUAGACAUACUUUAGAGUGUAGAUUCACUCAUUUCACUCUGUAUGUAGUCCGUAGGGGAAUCUCUAAAAAGACUUUUAUUUAGGAACGGAGGGAAUAUUAAAAAAAUGAAAUUGACCGAAAGUUCGCCAAUUCUAAAAAUGUUCAUGAAUGAAAAAAUAUCCUAAAAAUUAAAAAACUGCUCCUGACUUACAAAAUAGUUUAUUUAUUCAUAAAAUAUUUGCUGAUUCAAAAUAUGAUCAUGCAUUUCAAAAAUAUUCGUUUAAUCAAAAGCAUGUUCAAGCAUUUAAAAAAUUGUUCCACCAAUUUUCAAAAAUACUAGAAAAUUGUUUAAAUAAAAUUGUUAACAAUUUUAUUUUUUUUGCAAAUACUAUAAAAUGUUCAUGAAUUCAAAAACUGUUCUUUAUUUUAGAAAAUAUUUGAAAAUUUGAAAAUUGUUCAUGAUUUCAAAUAUGUGCACGAUUUUAAAAAAUAUUCAUGAUUUCAAAAAUUGAGAGUGAUAGUGUAUCUCGGUGAUGCAAAAAAAUGUGGUCACGGCCAUUGGUGAAUAUGUUUUCUCCCGUUGACGCAUGGGCCCUUUUGAUGUUGUUUCACAUGUUAAUAAAUUUUUUAAUGUUGUUUAGGAUGGAACCUUGAUCAGCAAUGCACGUCCUGUCUUUCUUUCGUACCGGUGUCAAUUCAAAUUGAAAUGCCCCGAAAAAACAAAUUAAAGACAAAAAGCAUUAUAGUAAUAAGAUGCCAUGUUGAAAUAAAGUACGCGGACCUAUUGGGGUAUUGAGUCAUGGUUAUUGCGUUAGGGGCGUGUGGUAUUUAUUUUCUACGGUUGCAACGCACGGGUUCUUUUGCUAGUUAUAAUAGGCCUCGUCUAGAUGUGUUACAAUAUCGGGCCGCCCCAUUUUCGUGCAUUCGAGCGUUUCUUGGCUCGCACGCUAUCACAAGCAACAUUCGCUUCACCCGGUCGUUGUUUUUUUUUCUAUUUUUACUUUAGUUAUAUUUUUAUUUAUUUCAUGAUUUUUGUCCAUUUUCUUCGAUUUUCCUUCAUAUUUUAUUUUCUAUUUUUCUUUGUCUUUUUUUUCCUUUUGGUUUUGUUUGUUCUUACAUCAGUUUUCACCUUUUUCCUGUCUUUCUUCGGCUUCCCCCUUUUAUAUUUAAAUUCAACACAUGUCUACAUUUUUACAUAUACAUUAGAAAUGUAGGCAUGUGUAAUAUUUUCCAUAUAGAUGGUUAACUGUUUUAUAUAAUAUAUGUUUUGAUGUUUCCUUUUUUCAUACAUGUUGUAAAUUUUGUGUAUACACUGAAAACAUUUUUUAUAAAUUUUCCACAUUUUGCAAAUACGUUUUUACGAAAACAUGUUUUGAACAUGUUUUCUAAUACAUGUUAAACGUUUUUCAAUACACGCUGGAACACUUUUUUAAUGAGAAAACAUUUUUUUCCUGAACUAUGCAAACUUUGUUUUGACAUUGCACAAACAUUUUUCUGAAAAAAAUUCAAGAACACAUUUGAAACUUGUCAACAUUUUUAAAAUGUAACGUCUAUAUUUUGGUGUAUGGAUUAUUUUUUUAAUUACAUGAACAUACUUUUUACAGGGUUUAAACAUUUUUCAUACACAUGAUUAAAAAAAUUCACGCGCAUGAUUAAAAUUGUCUAUUCUUUUGGAUUCAGAUUUGUACAUUUUUCAUAUACAUCAAUAAAAAUUUUCUAUACACGUUUAGUAAAUUUCAAAUGGAAAAUUGUAAUUAACAAUUAAAAAUUACAUAAAGUUUUUGUUGUAAUAUAUAUAGGAUAUUUUCAAAUAUAAAAUAUAAAAUAAAAUAAGAAAACAAAAUUGUGAAUAAAAGCCAGAAGAAAAAACAAAACAAAACAAAAAGAAGUAACAUGACGUCAGCAUACGAGCCCUGGGUACUAGGCCAGUCCAAAACCUUCCCGCGGACAGUAUGUGCCGCCCGUCAAAUAGGAGCUCCCGAUCUAAAAGAAAAGUCAAAUAGGAGGCCCCAGAGAAUUAGCCUCCGGGGCACGGUAGGCCGCGCGGCUAAAAUUGACGGUAAGAAUGCCCACGCCUGCCUUCCAGGACCAACUAGUUGACAAGCGGUCCUUCAGAAGUCUCGCAACGAUCACUUCCGGUGGGCUGAGAGCGUGCCACUUGACGCGUUCUCAGUCGUCGUCAUGUGUCCCGUCCUAUGCGCUCCCUCUGGAUUUUAUUUUUUUAUUUUUCCGCAUGCGUUUUUGACUUUUUAUAUGUUUUUUAACUUUUCGGUUUUCCAUCGGUCUUCCUUAGUUUUUUGACAAAAAAUAAAAAAAAUGCAUGAAAAAACGUGUUUUUUUCUUGCUUAAGAGGCACGGUUUUGCUUCCACGUGAGGCGUGAUUUUGAAAUGGAAAAAAAUAUGUUUUAUUUUUUUUCUUUCGUGAGAGGCAUGGUUUUACUUCCGCGAGAGCCACGGCCGUGCCUCUCGGAAAUAGAAAAAAAAUGUUUUCUGUUUUUUCUUUCAUGAGAGGCAUGUUUUUUAUUCCGCGAGAGACACGAUUUUGCUUCCAUGAGAGGUACGGAUGUGCCUCUCGGAAAUGAAAAAAGAACGUGUUUUCUCUCUCUUUUUCCUUUCGUGCGAGGCACAUUUUUGCUUCCGCGAGAGACACGGUCGUGUCUCUUGAAAACGAAAAAAAAAUGAUUUUCCUUUUUUUCUUCCGUGAGAGGCACGGAUUUGCUUCGGCGAGAGGAACGGCCGUGCCAGUUAGAAACGGCUUCCGGAAAGGGAAAAAAGUGCUCCAAUUCUGUUUUUUCGUGAAAAAAGUCCGUCAAAACCUAUCAAUAUGGGAUCUAAUUUUAAAGAUCUCAACGCGAGAAAUUCAACGGUGAAAACAAUUUGAAAUGGACGCACAGAUAAACGAACAUGCGAACAAAGAAAAAACUCUUAGGUUGCGACCAGUGGCGCUUAAACAACACGCCACUUGUCACACCCUAGAGAAGAUAAAAAUGAUCUUUGAAAAAAGUACUCCUCCUUCUUGUUUGUCUGACAGGGCACCGGGUUGCCACGCAUAUAUGCGGACAAAACGCCAUGCCUAGCCUUUUCAGAUCGCAUGCAUACUUUGACAAGGAUUUCGUGGAGUGCGUUUGUGCUACUGCUCGAUCAUGGGCCGGCAGCAACUGCAACAGCAGCUCUUUUAUUCAUGGAGGAAUGUUGGGUCUCGAUCAGUGCCAAAAUGAACGUACUACUACUACCACUAGUAUUGAAUUACUUGUUUGAGAUCGAAAGUGAAAUCUCUGACUUGAUUGAUGGUUACAGCCGCUACUUAUACCAUCUGGAGAGACGCGAUCGAAGGGAGGCGUCGGUUCCAGGGGGCAGGAGUGAGAAGCCGUCUGUGCGGGACACACCGCACGACGGUUUGGGCAAGGGGAGAUUUUCCCCUUAUUACAAAUUGUAAUUAAUUCUAACACUCCCCCUAAUCUACACUUGACCAUGUAGAACCAUCUUCACAAUUAUCCGGGAAGCUCUAUCAUCUCAAAAGAUUCUCCUUCAAAAGUUUUUCAUAAAAUCUUUGAUGAGAUCCUGAAACAUAUACUCACAAAGAAAGAUAGCAUAAUGUGAUGUCAUUAAAAUGAGGAUAUCUCAAGAAGAGACUCCCCCUGACACCUGCAAGUCCCUAAGUCUUCGCAUACCAAUUCCAUGAACACAUUUCUGGAAUGUAGAAUUUGGUAGAGACUUGGUAAAUAAAUCAGCAAGGUUGUCGCAUGAUUUGACUUGCAGAAUGCUUAUUUCCCCGCUUUUCUGAAGAUUAUGGGGGAAAAACCAUUUAGGAGAAAUAUGCUUGGUGAUAUUACUCUUGAUGUAUCAUGUUUGCAUCUGCGCAACACAGGCCGCAUUAUCUUCAUAGAUAAUGGUAGGUGAUUUUAUCGAACCCAUUCCACAUGACUGUUGUAUGUGGUUUAUCAUUCUGCGAAGCCAUACACAUUCGCAUGUUGCUUCAAAUAAUGAAAUUAUUUCAGAAUGAUCGGUAGAUGUUGCCACCAGAGUCUGUUUCGAAGACUUCCAUGAUAUAGCAGUGCCACCAUGUAGGAACACGAAGCCGGUCUGAGAUCUGGCAUUAUGGGGAUCAGACAAAUAACCGGCAUCUGCAUAUCCAAUCAUAUCAGAGUCCUGAUUUUUCUGGAACUGGAAAAAUAGGCCAAGAUCCUUUGUGCCUUGGAGAUAUCGAAAGAUAUUCUUCACUCUAGACCAAUGACGUUUGGUGGGAGCUGCGCUAUGUCUAGCAAGUAGAUUCACUGCAAAUGCAAUAUCAGGUCUUGUGCAAUUUGCAAGAUACAUAAGCGCUCCAACAGCACUAAGGUAUGGAACUUCAGGUCCCAACACCUCUUCUCCAUCAUCCCUUGGUCUGAACGGAUCUUUCUCUAUGUCUAGAGAUCGAACCACCAUGGGAGUUUUAGAUGGAUAGGAUUUGUCCAUAUUGAAUUUCUUCAAUAUUUUCUGGAUAUAGGCAGAUUGGUGUACCGUGAUUCCUGAGGGAAGAUGCUCAAGUUGAAUACCUAAGCAAAAUUUGGUUUUACCCAAAUCCUUCAUCUCAAAUUCCAUCUUUAGGUGAUUGCGUGCUUCAUCAAUGUCUGGUGUGCUGCCGAUGAUGUUGAGAUCGUCAACAUACACAGAAAUGAUGCAAAAUCCUGUAGAGGACUUCUUGAUGAAAACACAUGGGCAAUCAGCACUAUUGGAGUAACCUUUCUGAAGAAGGAACUCACUGAGUCGGUUGUACCACAUCCAUCCCGACUGCCUUAAGCCAUAUAAUGACUUAUUCAGCUUUACACAGUACAUGUUGCGUUUUGCAUUUUUAUUCGGGACAGAGAUUCCAUCAGGAACCUUCAUAUAUAUGUCCGAAUCUAGUGACCCGUAAAGGUAUGCGGUCACGACAUCCAUCAACUGCAUAGAUAGACGAUUUUGCACUGCCAAGGAUAUAAGAUAUCGAAAAGUGGUUGCACUCAUUACUGGAGAAUAUGUUUCAGUGAAAUCAAUGCUGGGUUUUUGCGUGAAACCUUGUGCUACGAGCCUUGCUUUAUAUCUCACCACCUCAUUGUUCUCAUUCCGUUUCCGGAGAAAAACCCAUUUGAAUCCCACAGGGAAAACACUGGGAGGUGUAGGUAUUGCUUCAGUGAAUACCUUUCUUUUGUUAAGCGAGGCAAUUUCUGCUUGGAUUGCAUCCUUCCAUUUAGGCCAGUCGGAGCGCUUUUGGCACUCAACGAUAGACCUUGGAUCAUGAUCAGUGAGAAGGGUAUCUGCAAUCUUUUCAGCAAAAUAUAUGUCGACAGUCGUAGUCUUACGGUCAAAUGAUUCUCCAGAAUCAACAUAGUUGAUGGAAAUUUCCUGCACCCCUAGUGACUCUUCGUGAUUUCCCAAUACGAUCGAGUCUGGGUUUUCCGAUGUCCCAGUUAGUUUGUGCAUACUGGAACUGGGUUGUGGAGGUUGCCCUUCCACUGGGUGUAUACUACCCAUCAGGUGUUUGUCAACGUUGAGUUGACCCGCAUUUACUGACUCCGAGGUUUUUUUCCUCGAUUUCCUUUGCUGCCUGCUAGAAGCAUGCUCCGGGUCAGAGGCCGUACUACUCCCCCUCUUUUUAGGAAUAGGGAGUUGAGUGGUUUUUAUUGGUACCUCCACUCUUUCUGGCGCGUUUCUGGCCGGGUUUAAGGAUUUUGUAACACCUUUCAAAUCAGUAAAUGAAUCUGGCAGAUUAUUUGCAAGAUGUUGCAAAUUAAUGAUCUUCUGAACUUGAAGUUCGGUCUCUUGGGUACGUGGAUCAGAGGAUGAAAUGGCAUGAGCAUUCCAAUCAAUUUCCGGGCAUUCUUUCUCGUACUUGAAAUCUCCCCCUAAUGCCGGAAAAUGUUCCUCAUUAAAUAUGCAAUCAGCGUGACGGGCUGUGAACAGAUCCCCAGUCAGGGGUUCCAGGUACUUGAUAAUCGACGGCGAUUUGUACCCCACAUAGAUCCCCAACUUCGUGUGUGGGCCCAUAGAUGUCCGCUGUGGUGGUGAGAUCGGGAUGUAUGCAGCACAUCCGAACUUACGCAGAUGGGAAAUGCUUGGAGGAUUUCCACGCACCAAUUCCAGAGGGGAAGAACUGUGAUAUGCAGUUGGCCUCAAUUGUAUCAAGUCAGUAGCGUGUAAAACAGCGUGACCCCAACAAGAGGUUGGCAAGUUGCAAUUUGUCAACAAAGGUCUUGCAAUGAGUUUGAUCCUCUUAAUCAACGCUUCAGCCAAACCAUUUUGUGUAUGGACAUAUGGAACAGAGUGCUGAACUUCAAUCCCCAAAGCCAUGCAAUAAUCAUUGAUAGCACGUGAGGAGAAUUCUGCAGCAUUGUCCAUUCGAAUUGAUUUAAUUCGACUUUCAGGAUAAUGGGCUUGCAACUUAAUGACUUGCCUCAUUAUCUUGGCAAAUGCAUGGUUUCGUGUGGAUAGAAGACACACAUGUGACCAUCGUGUAGAUGCGUCAAUCAGAACCAUGAAAUACCGGAAAGGUCCAGAUAAUGGCUGAAUGGGACCACAAAUGUCUCCUUGAAUACGUUCAAGGACCUGAAGUGGUUCAGCUUGUAUUUUGAGGUGUGAGGGCCUCAAAAUUAGCUUUCCCGUGGCACAAGAUGUGCACACAAAAUCAGAAGAUUGAGGAAAUUUUGACUCAAGCAAAUUAUGACCAAUGGAAUUGCUAGUAAUUUUUCUCAUCAUCCCUAUUCCAGGAUGGCCUAGGCGAUCAUGCCAGGUUUGGAAUGCGUUAACAUUCUGGAAAAUUACUUUGUAUGCAACAUGUUCCACGGGUUUGAUGUACGUAUAGUACAAACCAGACGAUAGAGAAGGAAUUUUCUCAUGUACCUUUUUGCCAUAUCUGUCAUCUUUAGUAAAGAGUAGAUACUCCUCUUUGUUGUCUUCAUGGGUUUCAAUAUGAAAACCAUUUUUACGGAUAUCUCGAUAACUGAUCAGGGUACAUGCAGAAUCGGGAUACAGUAAAGCAUCCUCAAUGGUCACAUAUGUACCACUUGGGAGGGUGAAUAGGGCACGUCCAGUACCAACAAUCACAGUAUCGCGUCCAGCGAUAGUUAGAAUAUCUCCAUUCGUCUUUUUCAGAGUUUGGAAAUAUUUCAUCUCCCUCAGUAUGGAGUUUGUGGCACCACUGUCCACAAGGCAUAAUUCCUCUUCCAUCGGAUUGUCCUCGUAGAAAACUAUAUAAAACAAAGAAUUUUCAAUAAGAAAACCUCAUAGUAAUAUAUAGAAUACAAUCUUUAUUAUAUCAAAUGUGCUGAUACAAUACAAUAUAAAGACAACAACAAACUUAUGUUCUUAUUACAAUCAUCACAAAUGGACAUAAUUAAGUAGAUCACUAGGAGAUUGAGGGACUAGUCGAAGUCGCCAAACACGUUGUUUGCGGUGUACUCAAUCAACGUGUUCUCCAUUUCAGCAUUAGCCUCAGGCAGAUAAGGAACCAUGGCAUUGCUCGGUCCAGGAGGAACAUCGUGCGAACCACCAGCUCCUUUUGCGCUAUCCGGAUGAAGGUUGAAGUUGGCUUCAAACCUUUUCCCUUGAGGUGCUUUGCGUCCCUGAGAUUGCUGGUACAGCAUAACCAGAUGCUUGGGCAUUGUGCAUUUUUCAGUAGAAUGCGUGGAGCAUCCACACUUGUUGCAAAGCUUAGAUUUAUCAAGCCUGGGCUUUGAAGUGCCUUUUCCCUUGCCUGGGUAUCUAGAUCUCCUGUUCCCAUUGCGCUUUCGCUUAUGCUCGAAAUUGGAUUGUUUACCCCGAGGGGUACCAUUAAACUUUUGUCUAUUUGCAACAUUCAGAUGGACUUCAGGUAAAGGUUGUGCCCCAACUGGGCGCUGAGAGCCAUUCUUAGCAAGUAGCUCAUCAUGCUUUUCAGCCUGAAGUAACAUGUGAAUAAGCUCGGAAUAGACAGUGUAGUUACGAGCACGGUAUUGUUGUUGGAGGAUCCUAUCUGAAGGGAGCAUAGUAGACAAAGUUUUCUCUAUCUUCUCCCCCUCAGUAGGUUCCUUCUCACAAAAGCGCGGUUUGGAACAUAUCUUAUGAACAGCAUGAUUGUACUCACCGAUGGACUUGAAAUCCUGAAGACGGAGAUGAGUCCAAUCAUGUAGUGCUUCAGGCAGGACUACUGCCUUCUGUUGUUCAUACCUCGUUUUGAGGGCCAGAAACAGAGUACUAGGAGAUUCCUCCUGUAAAUACUCAGACUUGAGAUCUGGAUGAAUAUGAUGCCUUAUGAUGAAUAAGGCAGCAUAGUUCUGCUGUUCUGUCAGCGGCGUGGCCCCAGCCGGGAGAGGAGUCUUCGGGGGUUGUAUUGCACGCGCUAUCCCACGGGACGCAAGACUGAUCUUGAUGUCCAUAGCCCAUGUAGGGUAAUUGUGGCCAUUGAGGGCAAGCUCCUCAAACUCUUUGGCAGUCAUCUUUGCCUACAUGGGAAACCAGAGAUAAUUAAUUUACGGGUGGUAAAUUAAAAACCAUCAUGGUUGUGUAAUAAGAAUGCAAAAAUUUGAUACUCAAGUGUAAACUUAAAAAAUUCUCAACCUCAAUUGUGUGAACAUAACACUUUGAAGAUCACUUAGAUCUCACAGUAAUAGGCUACAUCGCCAUUACCUUGUGUAUGCUACAAUUCAGAUAUAAGGAAUACACGUUAGAGGUAAUCGUUUGUCGAGAAUGACAAAGCGUAGACCUCACAGUAAGAGAGGAUAGUCUGCAAAUGAGCAGUAGAUCACAACUCAUUACCUUGUGAUUCCAAAUAAGAUGAGGGAGAAACAUUAAAAAAUUUGCAAGUUUGAUAUGCGAGAGAAGAUCUCAAUCGCAAAGACAUGUUUAAUAAAAAUGUGAUGUGGUAAACACAUGGAACAUGUCAUUCUUCCCAGAUGAAAUCCGGUACUUUAUUUAUAUUAUCAAUCCAUUACAUAAUAUAAACACACUAACAAUUACACAAGUCCUAGUCAGAUUUAAUCUAGAACUGGACUAGUAUGUAAGUAGCAGUCAAACUAGGUACUAAACAGGGUCUAAAACGGCACCAUAUACAAUAAUUAGUACUAGACUAAUAAAAACAGAGAUUAAAAAAAACUUGAAGGGAGCAGGUCGAUCGCCUGGGCCUGCCACCGCCGACCGAGGCCAGCCCGCAGCCACACACACCGCAUAAGAGGAGGCGAGGGGUGGGGCGGUUACGGAUAAGGACCCGUCCCGACCCGACCCGCACCACGCUCGAUCCCCCACCACCACCAGCGCUCGCAAGGAGCAGGGAGCCCAGUCGCCGGCGAUUGGGGCGAGUGCCGGCGCCUCCCCUCGCAUCUCCAGUUGUCAGUGACGCGACACCGACGAGGCCUCUUCAUCUGAAGAGGAGACGACGACGGUGGAGGCCUGGCGCAGUGGAGUAGCGGUGAAGCCGAGGUUCGCCGGAGCCCAUGAGCCUGGGCGACGGCCGGGGCGGCGGUCGAGGGCUGCGACGGCACGCCCAAAGAGGCGGCCGAAACGCCGCUCCGCGCGGCUGCUCGAGCCCGCGGCUGUCUCCUGUUGAGGCGUGCCGGCGGCGGCGGCGGCGCCCUCCAUGCCGACUCCAAGGCGGACGACACCAGAGGCGCCGGAUGGAGCGGAGAUGAAGGCGAGCGCUUCCUCUGCAUUCACCGUCGAGCGCAUCGGCACUGGGGCGUAGCCAGGCGGGCGGAGGCUCGGGCCAGCGGCCACGGCAUCAGGCGUCGGCGUUGACGGCGGGAUCCAUGCGGCCGGCGGAGGGGGUGGUGAAGGCGGAGACCCAGUGGGCAGGGCAGGCGCGGUAGCGGCCCCGUGCAUCAUGGGGGCGCUCGGGCCGGCCACUAGCCAAGGGUCGUACCCCAUGGGCGCCUGGCCACGAGCGCGGGGAGCACCGCAGUGGGCGCGUCCAGGAGCACGGGAACCGUGUCCAGGGGCGUGGUGAGCACCGCGACGGGCGCAUCCAGCGGCGCUGCGGCCGAACCGUCGGAUGGCUUGCAUCUGGCGACGGAAACGCCGGAGUCCACCCACUCCAUGGUAGCGACGACGGUAUCGACGACCAUCCUCGCGGAUCAGGCGGAGGAAGAAGGAAACGAGGUUAGGCAUCUCACCGGCGGCGAGUGCUCCCUCUCUUUUCCUUUCUCUGAUGUUUCUUUUGCUCUCGCUGGCUGUUCUACGUGCGUGAUAACGUGUUUGAGAUCGAAAGUGAAAUCUCUGUCUUGAUUGAUGGUUACAGGCGCUACUUAUACCAUCUGGAGAGACGCGAUCGAAGGGAGGCGUCGGUUCCAGGGGGCAGGAGCGAGAAGCCGUCUGUGCGGGACAAACCGCACGACGGUUUGGGCAAGGGGAGACUUUCCCCUAAUUACAAAUUGUAAUUAAUUCUAACAUUACUGAUAGCACCUACAUUAAGCUACACCGCCCCCUCCCCCUCGUGUCGCCUCCCCCAGGCGGCGCCAGGGGCCCCGAAACCCUAGCGCCGCCAGCACCUUCUUGCCGCCCCUUCCUGCCGCCGCUGCCGCCGGCGUGGGCCGCGGUGGCGGCGGGCCCGGUGCCGAAGGUUUCUGGGCGGGUGGAUGCGGCGGAUCCCAUCUGAGGCGGCAGGGGCGGCUCCUCUCGUGCGAUCCAACGGCGGCGGCUGACGGCGAAUCCGGGCUGUGCGGCGGGGGUCGGAGCACCAUCGCCAGCGGAGCGGCGGCCCUGCAUGGACGGCGGCGGUGGCAGCGCCCCAUCCGGCGGGGUGGGCUGUCCUGGUCGUGAUGGUGAUGGUGGUCACUGCGGAUCCAACGCUCUGUUUGGGUCCGUCGCGGGGAGGCCUUCCGCCGACCGGCGGCGCGUGGAGGGACCGGUGAGGAGAUGCCGGAUCUCCGCCGGAGUACCGACGGCGACAUACGUCUUCGUGGCGAGGUUCCGCUUGGUUCCAGCCAGCCACGAGGUCGGGAAGACGUGGCUUCCGGUGAAAAUCGCGCCUGACUGCGGUCUUGGCGGAUGAUGGCAGCGUCUCAGACGUCGUUCCCUUUUGGAGGCAUCGUCGUUGCAGGUCACAUCAACCUGAUCGGGAAGUUCCGGGGGAAACCCUAGAUCUGGGUAUGCCGGAUCGGACGAUGACGGUGCCUUCGGUAUCGUUCUCCCUCAUGAGGGCAUCGUUUUGGAGCAAGUGCUGGUUGGAGGGGACAAGAGGCGGAGCGGUGUUUCCUCUGCUCCAUUGAUGACGGCGGAUCUCGGCGGCGUGGCGUAGUGGGGACUCGGCGCCUGAUGAGCGGAGAAGGACUCGCGCAGGAGGGUGACGCUGCCUGGCGUCGUGGUGGCGUCGGCGACAGUUAGACCGGGCAAGGUUGAUGCAGCAGUACAGCUCUGAAGAUGGAUUGAUGGCAGGUGGCUGCGGCGGCCUCAUACCCGGCAGGCGUCCUGGUUGAGAAGCACGCCAGACUGAUGGGUGCCCAUACCCGACAGGCGUCCUGGUUGGGACCUCAAGUCUUAGAUGUUAGGUUUGGCCGCGAGGUCUGUUUGGUAUUAGGCCAAGACUUUCAGCGCCCCUACAUCAACUGGAUAGGGAUAGCGACAGAUGUUGCUUAGUUUGAUGACUUUAGGCUUAUUGUUGUAUGACUCUGUAAGGUCUUGUGUCAAUAAUUAAUAAAAUGGCCGUAUGCAUCGUCCAGAUGCAGAGGCCGGGGGUCGUCCUCCUUUUCUAAAAAAAGAAAAAAACCUACAUUAAGCAGCAGCAGAGUAAAAUCUUGGACAACACAUGACUCUAUCCACUACUCGUAACUAAGAAGGAACUAAUAAUUUGAAGAAACCCGAACUGCAAUACACAACAGGGAAACACCGUGUCUGAAAUCUGUCAGCCAUCAUUGAGUCUGGACAUGAAUGAAUGGAAUAAAAAGCAGCUAGCAGGACGUCUAACACAUAAUUAUGUUCCGUUUUGGAAACAAAAAACACAUAAUUAUGUUCCAUCAUCUGGGCAAGGGCGCAGACAGCCGCACCUGUGCUGUGCAUCAACGACCUGUGCCGCGGCACUGCACAGCACAGCACAGACACCCCUCCUCAAGAGUCAAGAUCAUCUCUAGACUGUACUACUACUCACUCUGUAUAUUCCUUCCCUGUUCUCAAUCCUUGUUUGCGUAAGGACUUGUUUGCUUUUCCAAGUCAUGUCUUGUCAGGUGGAAAAAGUAGGCAAAACAUUUAUUUAUUUGUUUUUAUAGCAAAGCAUUCCUUGUUGUGCCGUCGGAGAAAAGCACCUCCGUCUCCGUGUGUGCCUCGUUGCUGCGCGUUUGACUCCCCUUCUCGGCUUUCUUUACCUGUGUCUGUCCAGUCAGUCUACCUUGGUUCAAAAACACCUGCGGCCGGUUCCUUUCUUCCGACGCUUCAAUUCUUCAAUUCAAACUGCUCGCGCGAUCACUCUAGCAGUAUCCGUUGCCGAUGCGUGUUUCUUGUGCGGUGGUCGUGCCCUAAUGAUCUGUCCAAUAUUUGAGCAAGCCAGCAGCACGGUUCUAACAUUCGACGAUUGAAUCUUGAAUCAUCACAUGCUACGAAGUACGACGAACACGGAAUUAAGUUCAAAUCUUGCUGAAAUAUAGCUAGGACAAGAGCGUGGCCCGAUUAGAGUAGAACAACGUUGCUUUCUCCACCGGUCACUCACUAAAAAAAAAAA